rnacentral:rRNA from 1 species
ACAGCCAGGAUGUUGGCUUAGAAGCAGCCAUCAUUUAAAGAAAGCGUAAUAGCUCACUGGUCGAGUCGGCCUGCGCGGAAGAUGUAACGGGGCUAAACCAUGCACCGAAGCUGCGGCAGCGACGCUUAUGCGUUGUUGGGUAGGGGAGCGUUCUGUAAGCCUGCGAAGGUGGCCUGUGAGGGUUGCUGGAGGUAUCAGAAGUGCGAAUGCUGACAUAAGUAACGAUAAAGCGGGUGAAAAGCCCGCUCGCCGGAAGACCAAGGGUUCCUGUCCAACGUUAAUCGGGGCAGGGUGAGUCGACCCCUAAGGCGAGGCCGAAAGGCGUAGUCGAUGGGAAACGGGUUAAUAUUCCCGUACUUGGUGUUACUGCGAAGGGGGGACGGAGAAGGCUAUGUUGGCCGGGCGACGGUUGUCCCGGUUUAAGCGUGUAGGUGUGUGUUCCAGGUAAAUCCGGUUCACUUUAACACUGAGGCGUGACGACGAGGCACUACGGUGCUGAAGCAACAAAUGCCCUGCUUCCAGGAAAAGCCUCUAAGCAUCAGGUAACAUCAAAUCGUACCCCAAACCGACACAGGUGGUCAGGUAGAGAAUACCAAGGCGCUUGAGAGAACUCGGGUGAAGGAACUAGGCAAAAUGGUGCCGUAACUUCGGGAGAAGGCACGCUGACAC